AUGGUAGCAAGACAAGAUGGUAUUCUGAAGGUGGCGGAUUUAUGAGAAGCUGGCAAAAAUAGGAGACAACAACCAGAUACAGAUUUUUUGCUGAGACAAACAACCAGUUAAUACACAAUAAGCUUUUAGGAAUGGAAUUACCAUGUAACUCAGAAGAAUGAGUCUGUCCUGAAAACAAGCUGCUCACCGAUCUUACCAACAGCCGCUCAACGCCUGAGCCACUGGGGGAACACACUGGAAUCAUGGUCUGAAGAACACAGAGCCAAAACAUAGUCUGAAGUCAGGUUCAAUCACCAGAGCAGUCAGCCAGUGAAAGCAACAGCAGACAAACAACAGGGAAGGAGAAUGCCAUCCAACUUCA